UGGGGAAUAUUGGACAAUGGGCGGAAGCCUGAUCCAGCAACGCCGCGUGAGGGAUGACGGCCUUCGGGUUGUAAACCUCUUUCAGCGCCGACGAAGCGAGAGUGACGGUAGGCGCAGAAGAAGCACCGGCCAACUACGUGCCAGCAGCCGCGGUAAUACGUAGGGUGCGAGCGUUGUCCGGAAUUAUUGGGCGUAAAGGGCUCGUAGGCGGUUUGUCGCGUCGGGAGUGAAAACCAGGUGCUUAACACCUGGCUUGCUUUCGAUACGGGCAGACUAGAGGCAUGCAGGGGAGAACGGAAUUCCUGGUGUAGCGGUGAAAUGCGCAGAUAUCAGGAGGAACACCGGUGGCGAAGGCGGUUCUCUGGGCAUGUCCUGACGCUGAGGAGCGAAAGUGUGGGGAGCGAACA
rnacentral:rRNA from 1 species